rnacentral:rRNA from 1 species
ACGGAGGGUGCAAGCGUUAUCCGGAUUUAUUGGGUUUAAAGGGUCCGCAGGCGGAUCGUUAAGUCAGUGGUGAAAGCCUACCGCUCAACGGUAGAACUGCCAUUGAUACUGGCGAUCUUGAAUAUGUAUGAAGUUGGCGGAAUGUGUGGUGUAGCGGUGAAAUGCUUAGAUAUCACACAGAACACCGAUUGCGAAGGCAGCUGACUAAUACAGUAUUGACGCUGAGGGACGAAAGUGUGGGGAUCAAACAGG